rnacentral:rRNA from 1 species
GACGAACGCUGGCGGCGUGCUUAACACAUGCAAGUCGAACGGAAAGGCCCUGCUUUUGUGGGAUGCUCGAGUGGCGAACGGGUGAGUAACACGUGAGUAACCUGCCCUUGACUUUGGGAUAACUUCAGGAAACUGGGGCUAAUACCGGAUAGGAGCUCCUGCUGCAUGGUGGGGGUUGGAAAGUUUCGGUGGUUGGGGAUGGACUCGCGGCUUAUCAGCUUGUUGGUGGGGUAGUGGCUUACCAAGGCUUUGACGGGUAGCCGGCCUGAGAGUGUGACCGGCCACAUUGUGACUGAGGUACGGCCCAGACUCCUACGGGAGGCAGCAGUGGGGAAUAUUGCACAAUGGGCGGAAGCCUGAUGCAGCAACGCCGCUUGCGGGAUGACGGCCUUCGGGUUGUAAACCGCUUUCGCCUGUGACGAAGCGUGAGGUAGGGUAAUGUGUAAAGAAGCACCGGCUAACUACGUG